rnacentral:lncRNA from 1 species
ACAAGGUAAUUAUACAAUAAUAUAGAUCAGAUCAAUAUGAUAUCAACUUGAAAUAUUUGCUGAUCUAUCUAACGCUAAAUUAUUUAUUUUAGGUUAUCUAGUCGAAAGUCUGAAGGAAGAAAUACGAUGCAAUGAAUUUAACUAUAUAAAAAAAAAUAAAAGUAUUUGACAAAAAAUUAAGUCGAAGAUAACCCAAAAUUAUCUUGAAUAUUCAAAAUUUGUUAUACUAAAGCUAGAAAAUGAAAAACAUUGACUUUAGAUCAUGAUCAAUUAAAAAUAUAAACUGUUCAGUACAACCUUUCACGAUGUAAUAUGAAGAUAAACCAAACUGCUAUGAAGUCUCUUCGGAUCCAAGAAGAAAUCAACUCCUCUUUCACUGGAACAAUGUUCUAAACAUGGUAGAUACCCGCAUCGGAAUACUUUUUCACUUUUCUUAUAAAGUUGAGGGUCAUUUUUGAAAAUUUUUUCUUCACCAUGAAGAUUAUUUAUACAGAUUAAUGUCUAUUUCAACAUAAUUUCACAAAUCUAUACAUGCAGCUAAAUGAUGCAAGACGUAUCACCUUAACGAAGUUCCUUUCGAAGUGACUUUUGGAAACAUGGAACCUUUUGAUGAUUCUUACGAACAAAUAAGGCUAUUGUAUGAUACAAAUAGAAGUAAUUCUCUGGUAAAACUCAAAAUUCAAAUUAUUAUAUAUUCUAUUUACUAAUUUCUAAUUUAUAUGUCAUUGAAAUAUCAUCUUUGAUAUAGGAUUACCUAUUUUGAUUUCUUAUGUAAUUCUACCUUUAUACACUUAAAUAAAACCAUCUUAUAACUA